rnacentral:rRNA from 1 species
AGAGUUUGAUCAUGGCUCAGGAUUAACGCUGGCGGUAUGCCUAACACAUGCAAGUCGAACGGAAUACUAAUUAAGAGAAUCUCACACUAGUGAGAGGUUCUCACGAGUAGUAUUUAGUGGCGGACGGGUGAGUAACACGUUGGAACCCUGCCCCGAAGUGGGGAAUAACUGCUCGAAAGAGUAGCUAAUACCCAUAGUAUCCGGUUUAUCCGGAUUAAAGAUUUAUCGCUUCGGGAGGGGCCUGCGUCUGAUUAGCUAGUUGGUGAGGUAAAAGCUCACCAAGGCGACGAUCAGUAGCUGGUUCGAGAGGAUGACCAGCCACACUGGGACUGAGAUACGGCCCAGACUCCUACGGGAGGCAGCAGUGAGGAAUCUUCCACAAUGGGCGCAAGCCUGAUGGAGCAAUACCGCGUGCAGGAAGACGCUUUUCGGAGUGUAAACUGCUUUUGUCGUCGAAGAUUAUGACUGUAGACGAAGAAUAAGGACCGGCUAACUACGUG